AGUCUUUCACGAAUCUUUUUGCGGUCUGGGCUUGCUGUUCUCAACUAUCAAUGGGAAGCCCUUACCCCAAAAAGCAUUUGCGGAGGGCG
rfam:Danio rerio chromosome 7, GRCz11 reference primary assembly.